GGACAGGUGAGUCAUCGAAUCUUUGAACGCACAUUGCGCCCUCUGGUAUUCCAGAGGGCAUGCCUGUUCGAGCGUCAUUUCAACCCUCAAGCCUGGCUUGGUGUUGGGGCAUUACCUUCCCUCUGGGAGGGUAAGCCCUGAAAUUUAGUGGCGAGCUCGCCAGGACUCCGAGCGUAGUAGUAAAACCCUCGCUUUGGACUGUUCUGGCGCGGCCCUGCCGUAAAACCCCCAACUUCUGAAAAUUUGACCUCGGAUCAGGUAGGAAUACCCGCUGAACUUAAGCAUAUCAAUAAGCGGAGG
rnacentral:misc_RNA from 1 species